UACGUAGGGAGCAAGCGUUGUCCGGAAUCAUUGGGCGUAAAGCGCGUGUAGGCGGUCCGGUAAGUCCGCUGUGAAAGUCGAGGGCUCAACCCUCGAAUGCCGGUGGAUACUGUCGGGCUUGAGUACGGGAGAGGCGAGUGGAAUUCCUGGUGUAGCGGUGAAAUGCGCAGAUAUCAGGAGGAACGCCGAUUGCGAAGGCAGCUCGCUGGAACGUUACUGACGCUGAGACGCGAAAGCGUGGGGAGCAAACAGG
rnacentral:rRNA from 1 species